CAGUUAUGUUUUUCCAACUGAAAUCAUUUUCCUUGCUAGGCGCUAGCUAUACCUGACAACAGGUAAGAGACGUGUUGUUGGCAACUCACCCUUAGUUACAGUUGAGGUACUUGCACAAAAGACGCGUGAAAAUGUUUGAUUUUAACAUUGUUUUACCGUAUGCUUUGAUUUCAUCGGGAAAGAGGAGAAGACGAGAGGAAGAGAGUCCCUAGGGGUAAGUAUCGCCGAGCACAACAGGUUGAAACAAAAAUACUGAGAUGGUGUUGAGAACAGAAAAUAGGAGAAAUAGUCCAAUGUUUUACACAAAAUGUUGUGACACAUGCACAUGACAUAGAUAUUUUAAUCAAUAUCUCAUUUAAUGAACUAAUCAAGAAAGACAAAAAAAUAGAUUGACUCAUGAUGAAAAAUAUGUUCGGCUUGAUUUGUACUAUCAAUUUUUGUCGCAACACAGUCAUAAGUCGCAUGUGACGUUCACAUUGUGAAUUGAAAUGAUGUUUUGAUUAGUGUCUUAGUUUGUUGUUUCAUGGUAGCACGGGCAUUCACCUGUGUUAGUUUUUCAUCUUGAAUGGAAGUAACUUUGUGUUCUAAUUGAUUGAGCAUAUGAAUUUAUGAAGUAUUGGUUGUGUAUGCUAAUUCUGACGGAUGGAAUCCUUUGCUUUAUAGCAUCAUGCACUAAUAUCUCUACCCCUAAUGUCUCAGUUGGUAGAAUAGUCUUCACGAAUUUUUUUCGUCCCACCAUUUUGGUCCGGUUUUUUCGUUGGUUUUUUGUCCCCACCCCACCCCACGCAAGCACCCCAAAAAAAACAACCCGCACAAACACCGAUCCUAUCGAUCCCCUGGAGGACAUGCAGCCACCGUCGUGUGAUCUUCCUCACACAGACGCACGAGAUCGCCGCCGCCGACCUCACAGAGAAGACGCCGCCGAAUCUUGUACACGUACGAGAUCGCCAGAUCCCUAGAACGCCGCUGAUCUAUUCACUACAUCGACGGAAACCAAGCGCUACACUAGAAACCAGGCCGAUCCCAGAGCGAGAAGAAGAAGGAGAAGAGGGUCUCCAUGGCUCAUCAGGCGUCGGCGGGCAGCGAUGACACGCGGCUGCGAAGGUGUUCGUGGAUGGCCUGGCGUGGAAGAUGAGCAAGGAGGGUGUGCACGACCAGUUCGAGCUCUUCGGCGAGAUCCUCGAGGCCGUCGUCAUCGCCAACAAGGGCACCGACAUAUCCAAGGCCGCGGAUUCGUGAGUACCCACCCAAACAAUUCUCUCUUCCCCUCAUCAUCGAUUCAUGUUCAGUAGUUAAUUCUCUUGUUUAAUUCAGCCCCGUUAGUUGAUGCUAUGCCUAGAUGGAUGCUUGGCAGGUUACAUUUUGGGAGGCGGAGGCGGCCAUUAGGGCGUGCUUCGGUCCGUAUCGGUGAUUGACGACCGGAGGACUAACUGCAACCUCGCCCGCCUCAGGGUCCAGAGGUCCAAGGCCCCACAACCAACUGCCUCUGCAUCCAUAUGCUGCAAUCAAGUUACCAAAUCUGAAGCAUUUUAGCAAGGCAACGGUACAUGUGCUCUUUUGGUGGAAGAUGAAGCUUUUGUUGGUAAUGUGAUGUUUUUUCUGAAGAAGACUGACAACCCUGCAUCAUGAGAUCGCCAAAGUCCAGUCUCGUUUCUACUGGGCAGGCGACAACGAUAGAUAGAAACACCAUAUGGUCAGCUGGACGGACAUCUGCAAGCCUCGGGAGUAGGAGGGCUUGGGAUCAUGUGCUUUAAGCACAUGAACAUCGCCCUACUAUCCUGCUUGCUUUGGCGGAUUGCCCAAGGGCAAGGUGGCCUCUGGUUAGACAUUAUCCGAAAUAAAUACCUUCGUGGACAGCCAACUUGCCUUCUGCCAGAGAACUGGCGGCUCCCAGUUCUGGCAGUCGGUCAUCCAGCUGCUCCCGGUGCUUUGCAUCGGGACAUCCAUCUCGGUUGGAUCUGGAGCUACGACUCUGUUCUGGUUUGUCCGCUGGGUGGGCGACUCCCCCUUCGCUGUGCGCUCCCCCGACCUCUUCUCCAUCGUCGUAGAUCCUAGGAUCUCGGUUGAGAGGGUCCUUAUUGACUUAGGGUGUCUCGCCUUCCGGAGACCAUUUGGGCCUCUGGAAACUGCCGACUGGCAGGAGCUGCUUGACUGCAUUGCCCUCCACAAGCCACAGGUUGACGCUGGCCCGGAUUCUGUUCGGUGGCGCCUAGAGCCGUCGGGACAAUUCUCCACCAAGUUCCUCUACCGGGCUAUCGCCCCCUCCUCCGCCCCACCUCCCCUCACGGCGGUUUGGCAUGUCCGCCUUCCCCUGAAGAUCUGAAUCUUCAUGUGGCAAUGGAUCCGCGGACGGAUUCCGUCUGGCGUAGAGGUCCGCAAGCGCAAUGGCCCCGGUACCGGCCUUUACCCGCUUUGUGGCGUCCCUGAAGACUCGAAUCACAUCUUCUUCACUUGCUUGUCCGCCCAAUUUCUUUGGGGCUGUUUUCGUGAGGUGGUUGGUGGCAACUGGUGCCACACCAAUUUCCCCGACAUGUUCGCUGAACUCCAGGCCUCCUUCCCGCAUUCUCGCCACAUUAGGUGGCUGGAGAUUGGGACUCUUGCUUGGACCCUCUGGACGAUCCGCAAUAGAUUUGUGAUCUAGCGCAUUCCGCUUCAGCGUGCUACUGACGCUCUCUUCAAACUGUCUGGUUACUUGCAGCUCUGGCAGCCGCUUAGCCGCCCCAGGAUCGGGACGCCAUCUCUGCCUUCAUCGCCGACCUCCGCUCGAUGGUCGUCCACUUAUCGCCGCCGCUCCCUCCGCCACCUCCCGAGCCGGAUUAGGGGUCGGGUCCCUCCCCGGCCCCAUUUUGUGUUUAUUUUGGGCUUGUUGAGGUGUGCCCUCAGCAAAACCUUUUGUACUCUGUCUUGUGAGACUUGUGUGUGUGUGGUGUGAACCUUCUUGUGUACUGGUGCUAUGUGGCGGUUUGCUUUAUUUAUAAAGCAGGGCGAAAGCCUUUUUCGGUUUAA